CAACAGUACAUUUAGUAAAAGAAUAAAUAUUUCCUUGUUUGUAUUGUACUGUUACAGCUUUAAACUUACACUAAACUAACCCUCCAUGUGUGCUUUAUAGAUAUACAGCCACAUGUUCAUUGGAUGAGGAGCAAUAGAUGGAGCAAAUGUUCUUCAGACAAGACAAGAAUUGUGAUAAGUUCUGAAUUCCAGUUUCUUGAAUAAAGAUACUUCCCUGCCUUCCAUCCCAAGCAUAUUUCAACAGUUUAAGACUGAAGGAGCUGCUCUUGUUGAGAGGAAAAUAGAAUGGAAAAAAGGUGUCAGAAGUUCACAAAAGCAGGAAGGUAAUAUCAAGAGGUGAGUGGCAGUGUCGUCUGAAAGCUGAAAAGAAACUUGUUUAAAUGGACACAGCUGGACAAGGUUAGGGUAGAUGGGAACCCUUUAGUGUGCAUAUAUAAGUAAUCACAAUUAUUUUCUUGAAUCAUACUGGGGCUACCUUGAGAAGGUGGUGCAUCUUCAAAUAGUGUUGUUGUCAUGUAGGCAUAUAAUUUCUAGAAAUAACACCUAAGGCUUCAGAGAUAUAUUGGUACUUAAAAGCAGAUAUGCUGGCUUCCUGGCAUAUAGACUUUGAUAAGCUUUACUGAUAAAAUAAUGACAUAGAGUAUUUCAGACACUUAGCUUUGUGAUUUAAAGCCAAACAACUGUAGCCCUAAAGUGCCAAAGCACUAGAAAGGAAGUGCCAUUCUUAGAGGAAUUUAGAUUAUGAAAAUUGCUCUUUAAGACCAUGCAGAGUUUGAAGGCAGCAGACCAAAUCAGACUAAGAAUAUGGCUGUAAUGAUGAGCAGUGCCAUUUGAAUGUUUUACAGUACUAAUGUGAGAUUUCUAAACUACUGGGCAU
rnacentral:lncRNA from 1 species